AGGCUUGUUUCCCCGAGGGCACUGCCAUCUCCCCUGAAUAGUCAAGGGCUGACUUGAGGCAGGAACCUGGCGAGCUCGACUCAGGUGGCCCUAGUCUUCUAGGCGACCAGAGCUUGACUUCCAAUUCCUUCUGCUAAGAGACAGGAACAGUCCUCGCUCUGCCUGUCUGGGGCUGAGUCAGCGUCUGUGCCGGGGGUGGGACUGAAAAGAGGGGCUGGUGCUUCCGGGCCUGCCUUGACCCCCCUGGUCACAGGAUAAGUUUCAAGUCCAGCUGUCCUGGAGCUUCUGCACUCUGAGCAUCAUAACUGCACCAUGCCCAUGAUCCUGGGUUACUGGGACAUUCGUGGGCUGGCCCAUGCCAUCCGCCUGCUCCUGGAGUAUACAGACUCAAACUAUGAGGAGAAGAAGUACACGAUGGGGGACGCUCCCGACUAUGACAGAAGCCAGUGGCUGAGUGAAAAAUUCACGCUGGGCCUGGACUUCCCCAAUUUGCCCUACUUAAUUGAUGGAGCUCACAAGCUCACCCAGAGCAAUGCCAUCCUUCGCUACAUCGCUCGCAAGCACAACAUGUGUGGGGAGACAGAGGAGGAGAAGAUCCGUGUGGACAUUUUGGAGAACCAGACUAUGGAUGUCCGAUUGCACAUGGCCAGGAUCUGUUACAGCCCUGACUUUGAGACACUGAAGCCUGGUUUCUUGAAGGAGAUCCCUGAAAAGAUGAAGCUCUUCUCAGAUUUUCUGGCGAAGAGGCCUUGGUUCGCAGGGGACAAGCUCACCUAUGUGGAUUUCUUGGCUUAUGAUGUCCUUGACCGGCACCGCAUAUUUGAACCUACAUGUCUGGAUGAAUUUCCAAACUUGAAAGACUUCAUUACCCGUUUCGAGUCUAAAACCAUGGUGAGCACUGGGAACCCAGGAUUGCCAAACUUUUUGUGUGUGUUCCCCAGAUGGGCAAGUUUCUUUAAAAAGUCGGUUUCCUUACGGGACUGCUGUGUGGUAUGAGGACUGGUCUCCACCUCUGCUGCAAGCUUCUCAAUUGCCUGAGAAAGCCAUACCUGGCCAGGGCCUGAAGAGGAUCUCUGCCUACAUGAAGUCUAGCCGCUUCCACCCAAACCCUAUGUUUCUAAAGCUUGCCGUGUGGGGAAACAAGUAAUGCCUCCAACUAGGAGAUGGACAUGAGGAGCCAGUGCCCUGGAGACCAGAUGGACCUUCCUGCACACAGAACCUUCUGUCUUUUUCUUUCUCUUUCUGUUCACUCUAGAUGCUCUCUUGGCCCCAUUAUCUCUCUCCCACACCCCUUUCCAUCCCUACUUUAAAGAUUCAGUUUCCCAUAAUUUUUGAGCAAAUUUCCUCCCCCACCCCACAUUAUCUCUCCUGCACUGAAGCCACCCAGGCAGUCCUUCCCUUCCAUGGUUGCUUCUGCUGUGAGGAGCCCAUCCAGAUGCCUGGCCCAUAGCGCUGUGCUCUGAGCUCCCAGCACUGCCCUGAAGACCAGACCUGGCCUGGUGUGCAGACCAUGCUUCCCAAUGUGGUUCCCGCCCAGCCUGUUUGAUCCCCAGGGAAGCCUUAUUCACACCUGCUGUGUCUUGUCUUAUUCCCUCCUGGCUUUCUGGAGUCAUGAAGGACUGUGUUGGGUGUAUAGGGGUGUCCAUGAUCUCUUCUGCUGUUUACUGCAGGGCCACAUGCAUGGGCAUGCGUGUGUGUGUAGAGGGGGUGGGGCUUGCUUGUUCAUUUCUAUCUCCACUUCAUGCAUCUCUGUUCCUUAGCAUCAAGUAUCUACAGAAGGGGGGCCCUUCUGUGCCUGGUUUCCUCUUUAAUUCAGCAUUCAUGGGCUGCCUCCUGUCAGCUUGCAGUACUCUGUGUCAUGGUUCAGGGGACUCUCAGGGGCUGGAGAAGGGGUCUGAGUAGUCUACUGAUGGUGUGGGAUCCUGGUGGAUUUGCUUCUGUCACUCUUUCCUGAAAGCUUACCCUGCUUUAGAUACCCUUCAUGUGCAUUCUUAAAACAUAUCUCAGUAAAGUCUGCCCCUACUAUAUUA